UACGUAGGUGGCAAGCGUUGUCCGGAUUUAUUGGGUUUAAAGGGUGCGUAGGUGGCCCUGUAAGUCAGUGGUGAAAUAUCUCAGCUUAACUGAGAGGGUGCCAUUGAUACUGCAGGGCUUGAGUACAGAUGAGGUAGGCGGAAUUGACGGUGUAGCGGUGAAAUGCAUAGAUAUCGUCAAGAACACCGAUAGCGAAGGCAGCUUACCAAGCUGUAACUGACACUGAGGCACGAAAGUGUGGGGAGCGAACAGG
rnacentral:rRNA from 1 species